rnacentral:rRNA from 1 species
GAUGAACGCUGGCGGCGUGCCUAAUACAUGCAAGUCGAGCGAACAGAUGAGGAGCUUGCUCCUCUGACGUUAGCGGCGGACGGGUGAGUAACACGUGGAUAACCUACCUAUAAGACUGGGAUAACUUCGGGAAACCGGAGCUAAUACCGGAUAAUAUAUUGAACCGCAUGGUUCAAUAGUGAAAGACGGUUUUGCUGUCACUUAUAGAUGGAUCCGCGCCGCAUUAGCUAGUUGGUAAGGUAACGGCUUACCAAGGCAACGAUGCGUAGCCGACCUGACAGGGUGGUCGGCCACACUGGAACUGAGACACGGUCCAGACUCCUACGGGAGGCAGCAGUAGGGAAUCUUCCGCAAUGGGCGAAAGCCUGACGGAGCAACGCCGCGUGAGUGAUGAAGGUCUUCGGAUCGUAAAACUCUGUUAUUAGGGAAGAACAAAUGUGUAAGUAACUAUGCACGUCUUGACGGUACCUAAUCAGAAAGCCACGGCUAACUACGUG